CGUGUGAACCGGAUGAUCGCUCCGUCGGCGGGAGUCGGCGGUGAGGAAAGUCCGAACACCAGAUGGCACCGUGCUUCCUAACGGGAAGACCCCGUCCGGCGCGUUCCCAACGGAACGAGAGGCCGGGCCGGGGAUGGCACGUGCAACAGAGAGGAGUCCCGCCGAUGACUGCGUCGUCAGGCGCAGCACAGGUAAGGGGUGAAAGGGUGCGGUAAGAGCGCACCGGCGCGACCGGGUGACCGGCGCGGCCAGGCAAACCCCACGGGGUGCAAGACCCAGUAGCACCGCAUGCGUCGCGGACAUCGUCCCGUCGCAAUAUGGCGGCCCGCCGAAGACGCGGUGCGGGUAGGUUGCUCGAGACGAUCGGCGACGAUCGUCCCAGAUAGAUGAUGAUCCCCGCCGAUGGGUCCGCGGCAGACCGGCGGCGGGACAGAAUUCGGCUUACAGGUUCGCACGCGCC
rnacentral:RNase_P_RNA from 1 species